rnacentral:rRNA from 1 species
GACAGAGGGUGCAAACGUUGUUCGGAAUUACUGGGCGUAAAGCGAGUGUAGGCGGUCUUGUAAGUCGGAUGUGAAAGCCCCGGGCUCAACCCGGGAAGUGCACUCGAUACUGCGAGGCUAGAGUACUGGAGAGGUUGGUGGAAUUCUCGGUGUAGAGGUGAAAUUCGUAGAUAUCGAGAGGAACACCUGUGGCGAAGGCGGCCAACUGGACGAGUACUGACGCUGAGACACGAAAGCGUGGGGAGCAAACAGG